CGGUCUCAAGAUGGGCUGUGGCUCCGUCCCCUGAAGGUCACAUGAGGACAAGGCAGAAGAGCUGGUCAGGGUACAGCAGAUGGCCCAGCUCUGCCCGGUGUCCCUCUUCUCCCCUGUGUCUAUCUUCCUGGCCUCGGGGCUCGGCACCAGCAAUCACUCAGGUGCCCUUGGUCAGCCCUCCUCAGCAGCGCCCUCCAAGGACAGGGCCCACAGUUACAACAGGUACUUGGGAAGUGUCACUGUGUGUGUGCUGGCCAGGUUGACACUUGUCAGCUCCAUCGUCUCCCCCAGCCUGUUAAGGGAGAGGCAGUCCCAACAGACCCUACUCAAGCUCAUGCAAGAUCAAGGGUACACUGGGCAGUCAGGACACAGACUGCUUCCAUAGGCCUCCAGGAAAGCUUCCCGAGAAAGGCCAGCCCUCAGGGACACAACACACCCUUUCUAAGAUGAAGCUUGGAUCUUCACCUGAACAGUGGCUUGCUCUGGAGCCAUAGGUUGGCCUCAUUUGUGCUUAGAGCAACUGGUAAAUCUUAGGAUAGAUCUCUCACACCACAACCCCAUCCUGGUGGUAAUCUCAGCCCCAUGCCUGCUACAGGAUGCUCUCCUAAAGGGUGCAGAAGCUGCCUGAGGGAGGGUGAAGGAAAAUAGCAUAAAGACCUGGGGUUCUCCAGUGAGACCCAGAUGCCCUCAGAUGUAUAGGAAGGAAGGAUGUGACACCUUCAAGAAGUAUCCCACCGCCACUUCAAGCAACAGGCUGCUAGGUUGGACAGAGCUACCUUCCGGGCAGCAGUCAGACUCACCAGGCAGGUGGCACACCACAGGGAUAUCCAGUUUCCUGAGGUCAUCUGCAUUGCCAACGCCAGAGAGCAUGAGCAGCUGUGGAGAGUUGAUGGCUCCCCCGCUCAGGAUCACCUCCCUGCUGACGUAAGCCUGGAAGAGGCAGAGCUCGACCAAUCACACUUCCUGAAAAGCCAGCUGUUUGACUGCCCCGUGGAGAGGCACCCAGUUCCAGCCAUUGCUGGGCCUUUGGAAAUUACACCACUGUGGAGAAUCUGUUCUCAGAUCCUAGAUAGAGAACAGAGGAGGGGGCCGGCUGGAGGGCUACUUAAAAAUGAUCCGCACAGAGUCCCCAUGGGUGACUCUAAGUAACAGCUGUAACAGUAACAGGGGCCUUGGAAAUGGGGGGCGGGGGUAGAGCUCAAGUGAGAUGAUAGCAUACACUUCAGUGAUUUGAAGCAAGCACACAAAUAGAUCUCCUGAGAAGGGAAGGCGGGGGAAGGCCAUCUCUGACAUAUCGCCAAGUGAAGAAAAGCACCAAAUAUGAUUCCAUUUGUGGAUUUUUAAACUUCUAGGGUUGAUUUAAUGGUUUCUGGCAGGCCAGAACCCUGAAACCAUAUACUAGAGGACUCUCGUGGGGAUAGAUAUGACAGGCAGAGGCUUACGGAGGCACAAGGGACCAUGGAGUCUGCGGGUGGCAGGAGUUGAGGUCUUCUGACCUCUACAUCCUGUGGGACCCCAGGGACAAUCCUGCCACUGCUACUGGCUGUCAACUCAUCCUAGGAACAAGAGCACGUGGGACAGGAGCAAGAGCCUGAUUGCCUGUCCCCUUCCUGCCCUCUUCAGUCCCCACACGUUCCACAGGAAGUCAACUCACCUUGUGUCUCUGGCCGUCCUUGAUGUACUCCACACCUACUGCACGGGUGCCCUCAAACAGCACUCUGCUUACAAGUGUCUGGACCUCGGCCCUGAGGUUGGGGCGGCUCAGCACCGGGUGCAAGUAGGCGCAGGCUGUGCUCCAGCGCUUCCCUGCAGGAUGGAGCGAGGUCAGCCAUGGCCUGCUGCCCUCCCCUCGUGCCUGGACACGAAACUACUGGGGAAAGCAAAUCUAGCCCUCCCUUGACAAUGCAAGGCCCACCUUCAAAGGUAUGUCUGUGACCUGGAUAGCCUACCCUGCAGUCCAAACUAUUGAGAGCCCCAUGGUUUGCUCUAUCCUGCUGUGUGCAAGGGUCCCAUGCUACCUGCUGUCUGUCUACCUGCAUCCAUCUACCAAGAGGUGAUAGCUGGGACACGAUGGUCUUGUGCUGUCUUUUUCUGCCUCAGCUUGCUCAUCUGCAAGUCUCUAUAACGCCAUGCGUUAUUCAUUACACAGAGCUGUUCCUUCACUCUUCCACAGCCCCUCCCCUCCAACCGCUACCCCUAGUGGGGGCCACUGUGUUUUCCCUGGCUACAGGUACCACAGGACUGAAGUCCCUACCUCUCUCAGCUUCCUAGAUCUGUGACUAUAGGGUUUGGCUGCCCUAUCCAGGCUGGACAGGCCCCUGGGAACUCUAAAGUCACCUCUGCUAUACUGCAUGACCUAGAGGCACAGUGAAUACCCAAGUAUUGGGUUGUAUCCUGUGACACCUAGGGGCCGUAUAUAGUAUCUCCCUCUCACCAAACACCAUGCUGAUUUGCUUACUGACCAUGAUGGAGUCAGGAAGGAUGCCUAUAAUUAGAGGUGGGGGCUAUUAAAAAUCAGUACCCUGGGG